CCCAGAGAGCUGCAGAAUUGCUUGGUGUGGAAAACCCACACUUGUGAUCACAGAAGUGUUCUGUGAAGAGAGUAGUACCACAGUACCAUUAUCCUCUAUUUUACAGAUGGGGAAAUCAAGGCACAGAGAUGUCAGGCCACUAGACCAAGGUCAGUGAUUAGCAAACGGCACAGAGGGGUUGGAACCCAGGCCUCCGGGCCCAGCAGCACUCGCUUCCCCACUUCACUGGAGCAUCGACUAACGCCUGAUGGGCCACGUCCAUUUGCCCCCCAUCGUGGGGCUCACAAGAACAGUGACUUACUACCAUCAGAUAUAUAUUUAUUUUUACCGUCUGACUCCCACUGUCAUAAGGAUCACAUGGGUCUUCACUUUCCGGGCUGCUAAGCUCCACCUCCACGCGGUGCAAGAAGGACACGUGCUGGCUGCGGAAGUUCCUGUUGGAAGCCUUCACAGCGAAGGAGAAGCCCCCGGGGUGGGGUCCGGCCCACAGGGAUGGACCAGGCGGUAGGUGCAGGUGCCUUGGAAGUGGCCACAGCCCCAUCAAAGGUGACGUAAUGAGGGUCUCUGGUGGCCACGCAGGUGCCUAGGGGGCUCUGGCAGCCCAGCCGGCCACCUGCAGACCACAGACCUCCCCAACGGGGCACCUAGCUGGGCCACAGUCAAAAUGCCCAGGUCUGUCACAGCUGCAGCAGCGGGUGUGUCAGCUCAGCCAGACCAGGUCUCCUCCCUAGGGACAGAGGCCAGAUGAGCGUCCCCUGCCCGGCCCAGGCCAACCCGAACAGGGCGUGUGGAGGCCAGGGGCAGGCAGAAGUGGGGCCUGGCAGCUGGAUCAGAAAGAGCAGAGGCCGUGGGGCUGGCUCUGCCUGAGAAUAGGCAUGAAGGGGUGCUCAGAGGCAACAACAGGGGGUGCCUGAUGCUCAGGACA
rnacentral:lncRNA from 1 species